CCUACGGGAGGCAGCAGUGAGGAAUAUUGGUCAAUGGACGAGAGUCUGAACCAGCCAAGUAGCGUGAAGGAUGACUGCCCUAUGGGUUGUAAACUUCUUUUAUAUGGGAAUAAAACAGGGUAUGUAUACCCUCUUGUAUGUACCAUAUGAAUAAGGAUCGGCUAACUCCGUGCCAGCAUCCGCGGUAAUACGGAGGAUCCGAGCGUUAUCCGGAUUUAUUGGGUUUAAAGGGAGCGUAGGUGGAUUGUUAAGUCAGUUGGGAAAGUUUUCGGCUCAACCGUAAAAUUGCAGUUGAAACUGGCAGUCUUGAGUACAGUAGAGGUGGGCGGAAUUCGUGGUGUAGCGGUGAAAUGCUUAGAUAUCACGAAGAACUCCGAUUGCGAAGGCAGCUCACUGGACUGCAACUGACACUGAUGCUCGAAAGUGUGGGUAUCAAACAGGAUUAGAUACCCCAGUAGUC
rnacentral:rRNA from 1 species